CGAAUAAAAUAGAAAGGGUGACUACUAGCAAUGGGUUGGGUCGACAAACUACCAGUGCCAAAACACGGAAAACUCCCUAUUGGCGGACUUGUAGCAUCUUCAGUUGUUAUUGGAAUUAUUUUAGGAUCAUUAGCAAACCUUUAUCUGGACAGGCAUUACCUAUUUAAUGCAAAGAAAUAUGAAGAGAUGCGCUUGGAAACAGGCCUGAGAGAAGACUAGAACUUGCCAUACAUGCAUGUGCGUACAAUGAAGGCACGACGUCCACAUUACACCUCUCAGAAGGGCGCAACCAUGCGUGUUCUUUUGCAUGUUCUGUUCGUGUGAUAGUUUUAAUAUUUGCUUAAUUAUGUAUUUAUUUGUUAAGAAAAAUAAAUGAAGUAUACUAAA